rnacentral:rRNA from 1 species
UACGAAGGGGGCUAGCGUUACUCGGAUUGACUGGGCGUAAAGGGCGCGUAGGCGGUUCGUACAGUCAGACGUGAAAUUCCUGGGCUCAACCUGGGGGCUGCGUUUGAUACGUGCGGGCUUGAGUUCGGAAGAGGGUCGUGGAAUUCCCAGUGUAGAGGUGAAAUUCGUAGAUAUUGGGAAGAACACCGGUGGCGAAGGCGGGUCUCUGGGCCGGAACUGACGCUGAGGAGCGAAAGCGUGGGGAGCGAACAGG